GCGGACGCUGGCCAGGUGGGUCGGCCAGGCCUGCUGGAGCCGGGCCAGGCCCGCGUCGGUGAGCACGGCGUUGGCCCCGCGGGCGUCGGUG
rnacentral:tRNA from 1 species